UACGGAGGGUGCGAGCGUUGUCCGGAAUCACUGGGCGUAAAGGGCGCGUAGGCGGCUGGGGAAGUCCGUGGUGAAAGCUCGUGGCUCAACUGCGAGUCGGCCAUGGAUACUCCUCGGCUUGAGCACUGUAGAGGCAGGUGGAAUUCCGGGUGUAGCGGUGGAAUGCGUAGAGAUCGGAAAGAACACCAACGGCGAAAGCAACUCUGCUGGGCCGACACUGACACUGAGAGACGAAAGCUAGGGGAGCGAAUGGG
rnacentral:rRNA from 1 species